rnacentral:rRNA from 1 species
UACAGAGGGUGCGAGCGUUGCCCGGAAUCACUGGGCGUAAAGGGCGCGUAGGCGGUCUCUUAAGCGUGUGGUGAAAGCCCCCGGCUCAACCGGGGAGGGCGGUGCCGAACUGGGCUUCUUGAGGGCGAUAGAGGAAGGUGGAAUUCCGGGUGUAGCGGUGAAAUGCGUAGAGAUCCGGAGGAACACCAGUGGCGAAAGCAGCUUUCUGGGACGGUACUGACGCUGAGACGCGAAAGCGUGGGGAGCGAACAGG